rnacentral:rRNA from 1 species
CCUGAAACCCUGUGCUUACAAGCACACAGAGCACGUCAAAGUGUGAUGUGGUACCUAUUGUAGAAUGGUCCGGCGAGUUAUUUUAUGCAGCGAGGUUAAGGACUUAAGGUCUGUAGCCGAAGUGAAAGCGAGUGUUAAUAGCACGAAACAGUUGCAUGCAAUAGACCCGAAACCGGGUGACCUAUCCAUGUCCAGGCUGAAGUGAGGGUAAAACCUCAUGGAGGGCCGAACCGACUCCCGUUGAAAUGGUAGCGGAUGAGGUGUGGAUAGCGGAGAAAUUCCAAUCGAACCCGGAUAUAGCUGGUUCUCCCCGAAACCGUUUUAGGACGGGCCUCGUGUGAAGAUUAUCGGAGGUAAAGCACUGAAUAGCCUAGGGGGCGAGAGCCUACCGAAGCUUAUCAAACUCUGAAUGCCGAAUAAUCGUUUCACGGGAGUCAGACUGUGUGAGAUAAGUUUCAUAGUCAAAAGGGAAACAGCCCAGACCCACAGCUAAGGUCCCAAAGUGUAUUUAAGUGGAAAACGAUGUGAAGUUGCGUAGACAACCAGGAUGUUGGCUUAGAAGCAGCCACUCAUUAAAAGAGUGCGUAAUAGCUCACUGGUCGAGUGACUUUGCGCGGAAAAUUUAACGGGGCUAAAAUACACACCGAAGCUUGGGCUUGACGCUUUUGCGUCAGGGGUAGGGGAGCGUCGUGUAAGGGGCGAAGUCGUAUCGUAAGGGACGGUGGACUUUACACGAGUGAGAAUGCCGGAAUGAGUAGCGAGAAUUAUGUGAGAAUCAUAAUGGUCGAAAGCCUAAGGUUUUUGGAGGAAGGUUCGUCCGCUCCAAGUAAGCCGGGAGCUAAGGUCAGGCGGAAACGCGUAGCCGAUGCACAUACGGUUGAAAUUCCGUAGCCUCAGAAAGAUUUAAGCAGAGGGACACUUUGAAAGGACUGUAGCCGGGUGUUGGUUACCCCGGUCGUAAGGGAACGAAAUUAAGUAGUGAAGGCAGUCUGGACGGAGGCGAGAAAAGCUCUGUGUAUAUCUGAUGAGCCCGUACCGCAAACCGACACAGGUAGGUGGGAUGAGAAUUCUAAGACCAACGGGAGAAGGGUAGUUAAGGAACUCGGCAAAUUGUCCCCGUAACUUCGGAAUAAGGGGAGCCUGCGAAAGCAGGCCGCAGAGAAUUGGCCCAGGCGACUGUUUAUCAAAAACACAGCUCUAUGCUAAAUCGAAAGAUGACGUAUAUGGGGUGACACCUGCCCGGUGCUGGAAGGUUAAGAGGAGAUGUGAGAGCAUCGAAUUGAAGCCCCAGUAAACGGCGGCCGGAACUAUAACGGUCCUAAGGUAGCGAAAUUCCUUGUCAGGUAAGUUCUGACCCGCACGAAUGGUGUAACGAUCUGGGCACUGUCUCGACUACCCGCCCGGCGAAAUUGUAGUACCGGUGAAGAUGCCGGUUACCCGCGACUAGACGGAAAGACCCCAUGGAGCUUUACUGUAGCUUAAUAUUGGAUUUCGGCAGUUCAUGUACAGGAUAGGUGGGAGACUAUGAAACACGGGCGUCAGCUUGUGCGGAGUCGUCCUUGGGAUACCACUCUUGGAUUGCUGGAAUUCUAACCUGCGGCCCUGAAUCGGGUCGGGGGACAUUGUUAGGUGGGCAGUUUGACUGGGGCGGUCG